GACGAACCGUGCAAACGUUGUUCGGAAUCACUGGGCUUAAAGGGCGCGUAGGCGGACUCGCCAGUCUGUGGUGAAAGCCCCCAGCUUAACUGGGGAAGUGCCAUGGAUACUGCGAGUCUGGAGGAGGGUAGGGGCAUCUGGAACGCUGGGUGGAGCGGUGAAAUGCGUUGAUAUCCAGCGGAACUCCGGUGGCGAAGGCGAGGUGCUGGACCCUUUCUGACGCUGAUGCGCGAAAGCCAGGGGAGCAAACGGG
rnacentral:rRNA from 1 species